UUUCUGUAUACUCUCUGAUUUUUGUUUUUAACCAAAAGAAAAUUUUUUCCUAAAUGAUGCCCAUUUUUACAGGAAUUUAUCAACAAAGAUCAGGAAGAACAAGAGCGCCAUCAUAGAUGUAUCGCGGUAUGCAAAAACACGCCAAAAAAUUAUGCCGGCAAAAAACAAGUUUUUUUUGUUGUAUUAAUACCGUCGUCGUUGCGAAUUUCUACGAAAAUUUAAUCAUCAUCGUCUCUUCAUAUGUGUGAUUUUUUGGAUUUUAUUACUCACCAUCGUAGCGUUCUGCUUGUUCGGCCAAUUUAGCCUUGUAUACAUUAUUUUCCCGUUCAGACAUUGUGCAAAAAAAUUAUUUGAGUUGUGUGUGUGUGUGUAUGGAACAAGGCUGGAAAUCCCCUUUUCGUUUUUCUUUUUAAUAAAAAAUUAAAACUUUUUGAAUCCCGGCGUCGUUGUGCUUCUGAAUUUCAGUUAUGACUUCGUCGCCUUCGUUCCGUUUUUCUUUCUUGGCUUUUUUUGCUUAACUUUUUUUCUCUACUACGUUUUUUUUCUUGAUUCUCUCUGACAAGCCGCUUCUUCUAUACUGUUUUUUCAAUGUCGUCGUUGGGUGUACGCAGGGUAAAGUCGCUGUAUAAUC